rnacentral:rRNA from 1 species
GGGGGGGUGCAAGCGUUAUUCGGAAUCACUGGGCGUAAAGAGCGCGUAGGCGGGUCUCUUAAGUCAGAUGUGAAAGCCCGGGGGCUCAACCCCGGAAGUGCAUUUGAAACGAAGGGACUUGGGUAUGGGAGAGGGAAGUGGAAUUCCUGGUGUAGCGGUGAAAUGCGUAGAUAUCAGGAGGAACACCGGUGGCGAUGGCGACUUCCUGGACCAAUACUGACGCUGAGGCGCGAAGGCGUGGGGAGCAAACAGGAUUAGAUACCCUGGUAGUCCACGCAGUAAACGUUGAACACUAGGUGUAGCGGGUAUUGACCCCUGCUGUGCCGCAGCUAACGCAUUAAGUGUUCCGCCUGGGGAGUACGGCCGCAAGGCUA